rnacentral:rRNA from 1 species
UUAAGCAUAUCAAUAAGCGGAGGAAAAGAAACCAACCGGGAUUGCCUUAGUAACGGCGAGUGAAGCGGCAAAAGCUCAAAUUUGAAAUCUGGCGUCUUCGACGUCCGAGUUGUAAUUUGAAGAAGGCAACUUUGUAGCUGGUCCUUGUCUAUGUUCCUUGGAACAGGACGUCAUAGAGGGUGAGAAUCCCGUGUGGCGAGGAUCCCAGUUAUUUGUAAAGUGCUUUCGACGAGUCGAGUUGUUUGGGAAUGCAGCUCUAAGUGGGUGGUAAAUUCCAUCUAAAGCUAAAUAUUGGCGAGAGACCGAUAGCGAACAAGUACAGUGAUGGAAAGAUGAAAAGAACUUUGAAAAGAGAGUGAAAAAGUACGUGAAAUUGUUGAAAGGGAAGGGCAUUUGAUCAGACAUGGCGUUUGCUUCGGCUUUCGCUGGGCCAGCAUCAGUUUUAGCGGUUGGAUAAAUCCUCGGGAAUGUGGCUCUGCUUCGGUAGAGUGUUAUAGCCCGUGGGAAUACAGCCAGCUGGGACUGAGGAUUGCGACUUUUGUCAAGGAUGCUGGCGUAAUGGUUAAAUGCCGCCCGUCUUGAAACACGG